UACCAAAAGAAUAUUAAUUCAUAUAUAACUCUUAAAACUACCGCACUUUAAUCUGCCAUUUUGGU
rnacentral:tRNA from 1 species